GAAAUGCGAUAAGUAGUGUGAAUUGCAGAAUUCAGUAAAUCAUCGAAUCUUUGAACGCACAUUGCGCCCCUCGGUAUUCCGUGGGGCAUGCCUGUUCGAGCGUCAUCUACACCCUCAAGCUCUGCUUGGUGUUGGGCGUCUGUCCCGCCUCCGCGCGCGGACUCGCCCCAAAUGCAUUGGCAGCGGUUCCUUGCCCCCCUCUUUGCGCAGCACAUUGCCAUUCGAGGCGGCGGCGGCCCGCGUCCAACAAGCUCAACCCCCCCGUCUUUGACCUCGGAUCAGGUAGGGAUACCCGCUGAACUUAAGC
rnacentral:misc_RNA from 1 species